rnacentral:rRNA from 1 species
UACGAAGGGUGCAAGCGUUACUCGGAAUUACUGGGCGUAAAGCGUGCGUAGGUGGUUGUUUAAGUCUGUUGUGAAAGCCCUGGGCUCAACCUUUGAAAGCCGGUGGAUACUGUGAGGCUAGAGUACGGAAGAGGCGAGUGGAAUUCCUGGUGUAGCGGUGGAAUGCGCAGAUAUCAGGAGGAACACCAAUAGCGAAGGCAGCUCGCUGGGACGUUACUGACACUGAGGCGCGAAAGCGUGGGGAGCAAACAGG